AGAGUUUGAUCCUGGCUCAGGACGAACGCUGGCGGCACGCUUAACACAUGCAAGUCGAACGAGAGAAGAGGAGCUUGCUUUUCUGAUCUAGUGGCGGACGGGUGAGUAACACGUGAGCAAUCUGCCUUUCAGAGGGGGAUACCGAUUGGAAACGAUCGUUAAUACCGCAUAACAUAAUUGAAUCGCAUGAUUUGAUUAUCAAAGAUUUAUCGCUGAAAGAUGAGCUCGCCUCUGAUUAGCUAGUUGGUAAGGUAACGGCUUACCAAGGCGACGAUCAGUAGCCGGACUGAGAGGUUGAUCGGCCACAUUGGGACUGAGACACGGCCCAGACUCCUACGGGAGGCAGCAGUGGGGAAUAUUGCACAAUGGAGGAAACGCUGAUGCAGCGAUGCCGCGUGAGGGAAGAAGGUUUUAGGAUUGUAAACCUCUGUCUUCAGGGACGAAAAAAGACGGUACCUGAGGAGGAAGCUCCGGCUAACUACGUGCCAGCAGCCGCGGUAAUACGUAGGGAGCGAGCGUUGUCCGGAAUUACUGGGUGUAAAGGGAGCGUAGGCGGGAUCGCAAGUCAGAUGUGAAAACUAUGGGCUUAACCCAUAAACUGCAUUGAAACUGUGGUUCUUGAGUGAAGUAGAGGUAAGCGGAAUUCCUAGUGUAGCGGUGAAAUGCGUAGAUAUUAGGAGGAACAUCAGUGGCGAAGGCGGCUUACUGGGCUUUAACUGACGCUGAGGCUCGAAAGCGUGGGGAGCAAACAGGAUUAGAUACCCUGGUAGUCCACGCCGUAAACGAUGAUUACUAGGUGUGGGGGGACUGACCCCUUCCGUGCCGCAGCAAACGCAAUAAGUAAUCCACCUGGGGAGUACGACCGCAAGGUUGAAACUCAAAGGAAUUGACGGGGGCCCGCACAAGCAGUGGAGUAUGUGGAUUAAUUCGAAGCAACGCGAAGAACCUUACCAGGUCUUGACAUCGUAUGCAUAGCUCAGAGAUGAGUGAAAUCUCUUCGGAGACAUAUAGACAGGUGGUGCAUGGUUGUCGUCAGCUCGUGUCGUGAGAUGUUGGGUUAAGUCCCGCAACGAGCGCAACCCUUACUGUUAGUUGCUACGCAAGAGCACUCUAGCAGGACUGCCGUUGACAAAACGGAGGAAGGUGGGGAUGACGUCAAAUCAUCAUGCCCCUUAUGACCUGGGCCUCACACGUACUACAAUGGCUGUCAACAGAGGGAAGCAAAGCCGCGAGGUGGAGCGAACCCCUAAAAGCAGUCUUAGUUCGGAUUGUAGGCUGCAACCCGCCUACAUGAAGUCGGAAUUGCUAGUAAUCGCAGAUCAGCAUGCUGCGGUGAAUACGUUCCCGGGCCUUGUACACACCGCCCGUCACGCCAUGGGAGUCGGUAACACCCGAAGCCUGUAGUCUAACCGCAAGGAGGACGCAGUCGAAGGUGGGAUUGAUGACUGGGGUGAAGUCGUAACAAGGUA
rnacentral:rRNA from 1 species